GUUCCAGAGGCGGGUUUGGCAGGAAAAGUUACUUUAAGUCCAUUGGAAAAUGGCGCCAUGGAGGGUGAUAGCCCCGUAAAAGUAUCCCUUUUCCUUUUAUCCAUUCCCUCCAAAGAGUCGAGUUGUUUGGGAAUGCAGCUCUAAGUGGGUGGUAAAUUCCAUCUAAAGCUAAAUAUUGGCGAGAGACCGAUAGCGAACAAGUACAGUGAUGGAAAGAUGAAAAGCACUUUGAAAAGAGAGUGAAAAAGUACGUGAAAUUGUUGAAAGGGAUUUUUUUUUUAAUUAGACACAACCUCGGUUGGGCCAGCAUCGGAGUGGGGGGAGACAAAAAAGAAAAGGAAUGUAACUCUUUCAAUUAUAAAACCCUUUUCCCAAAAUUCCCACCCCUUCCCAAGGCC
rnacentral:rRNA from 1 species